rnacentral:rRNA from 1 species
UACGUAGGGUGCGAGCGUUAAUCGGAAUUAUUGGGCGUAAAGAGCUCGUAGGCGGUUUGCCGCGUCUGCCGUGAAAGUCCGGGGCUCAACUCCGGAUCUGCGGUGGGUACGGGCAGACUAGAGUGAUGUAGGGGAGACUGGAAUUCCUGGUGUAGCGGUGAAAUGCGCAGAUAUCAGGAGGAACACCGAUGGCGAAGGCAGGUCUCUGGGCAUUAACUGACGCUGAGGAGCGAAAGCAUGGGGAGCGAACAGG